GGAGGGGGGUGGUGUCCCGGCCGGUUUGGGGGGCGCGUUGCCCGGAGACCGAAAGUUUGCGAGCCAGAACAGGCUUGGCGGCGGCCCCGGAAAGGGGGUCCAGGGGGCGGCGGCCCUGGGGAUGGGGAAGGAGCAGGAGCUGCUGGAGGCGGCCCGCACCGGACACCUCCCGGCCGUGGAGAAGCUGCUGUCCGGGAAGCGGCUCUCCUCAGGCUUCGGGGGAGGCGGCAGCGGGGGCUCAGGGGGAGGCGGCGGCGGCGGCGGCGGCGGCGGUGGUCUCGGCUCCUCGAGCCAUCCCCUAUCCAGCCUGCUCAGCAUCUGGAGAGGGCCAAAUGUGAACUGUGUUGACAGCACUGGGUAUACACCUCUGCACCAUGCUGCUUUGAAUGGCCAUAAGGAUGUGGUCGAGGUUCUUCUGAGGAACGACGCGCUGACCAACGUGGCUGACUCUAAAGGCUGUUACCCUCUGCACUUGGCAGCCUGGAAAGGAGAUGCCCAGAUAGUGCGAUUGCUCAUCCAUCAAGGGCCCUCACACACCAAAGUCAAUGAACAGAAUGCUCUUGAGAUCAAAGAACUCAAAAAGUACGGCCCCUUUGACCCUUAUAUCAAUGCCAAGAACAAUGACAACGAGACGGCCCUGCACUGCGCAGCACAGUAUGGCCACACGGAGGUGGUGAAGGUCCUCUUAGAGGAGCUGACUGACCCCACCAUGCGCAACAACAAGUUCGAGACGCCUCUGGACCUGGCUGCACUCUACGGGAGGCUGGAGGUGGUGAAGAUGCUCCUCAACGCACACCCCAACCUCCUGAGCUGCAACACUAAGAAGCACACCCCUCUGCACUUGGCAGCAAGGAAUGGCCACAAAGCCGUGGUCCAGGUCCUCCUGGAUGCCGGCAUGGAUAGCAAUUACCAGACGGAGAAGGGCAGUGCUUUGCAUGAGGCUGCUUUGUUUGGCAAGACCGAUGUGGUGCAAAUCCUGCUGGCUGCAGGAAUUGACGUCAACAUAAAAGAUAACCGUGGACUGACUGCCUUAGACACUGUCCGGGAGCUGCCAUCUCAGAAGAGCCAGCAGAUAGCAGCACUGAUCGAAGAUCACAUGACUGGAAAAAGAAGUGCAAAAGAGGUAGAUAAAACCCCCACAACCCAGCCACCUCUCAUCUCCAACAUGGACUCCAUAUCCCAGAAGUCUCAGGGUGAUGUGGAGAAAGCAGUGACUGAACUGAUCAUCGAUUUUGACAGCAACAUGGAAGAGGAGGGUCCCUACGAGGCUCUGUACAAUGCUGUCUCCUGCCAUUCAUUGGACAGCACGGCCAGCGGGCGCUCGUCUGACCGGGACUCCGUGAGCAGGGAGGCCGAGACGGCGGGAGUGAAAGCUGCUGGAGUGAGGCCUAGGGAACGUCCUCCGCCUCCAGCAAAACCACCACCCGAUGAAGAGGAGGAAGACCGCAUAGAUAAGAAGUAUUUUCCCUUGACAGCUUCUGAGGUCUUGACCAUGAGACCCUGGAUUCAGGGGAGCGCAGCCAGGGAGGAGGACGAGCAUCCUUAUGAGCUACUUCUGACAGCAGAGACAAAGAAGCUGGCGUCCGUGGACGGAAAGACAAAAGACCACAGGCGGAGCAGCGGCAGCCGGAGCCAGGACUCUGCAGAGGGGCAGGACGGGCAGGUCCCGGAGCAGUUCUCAGGUCUCCUCCACGGCUCCUCCCCAGUGUGUGAGGCCGGGCAGGACCCUUUCCAGCUGCUCCCAGCCCCUGGCCAGAGCCAUCAAGAAGGGUCCCCUGCACAGGGUGCCCGCCCCGAGGCAGGCAUGCAGCUGGAGGAGACGGGCGGGCGCGCGUCUGGAGCCUCCGCGCCCCGCAUGCCGGACCAGAGUAAGAGAGUGGGCUAUCCGGCAAGCCUGCCUCCCGCCCACAGCCAGACGCACCCUGCAACUUCGACGCGCACCGCAUCUCCACACCCUUGGGGUGCCGAGGAAGAAGGCGACCGGAGCGGGGCCAGAAGCCGAGCCCCUCCCACCGGCAGACCCAAAGCUGAGCUCAAACUCAGCCGCAGCUUGUCCAAGUCUGACUCUGAUCUCCUGACCUGCUCACCCACGGAGGACGCUACGAUGGGGAGCCGGAGCGAGUCCCUGUCCAACUGCAGCAUCGGGAAGAAGAGGCUGGAGAAGUCUCCCUCCUUUGCCUCCGAGUGGGAUGAGAUUGAGAAGAUCAUGAGCUCUAUUGGAGAAGGGAUCGACUUUUCUCAGGAACAGCAGAAGAUCUCAGGUUCGCGGCCGCCGGAGCAGAGCGUCGGGGAGUGGCUGGAGGCCGUGGGGCUGCAGCAGUAUGAGAGCAGGCUGCUUCUCAAUGGCUUUGACGAUGUCCGCUUCCUGGGGCCUAAUGUGAUGGAAGAUCAAGACCUGCGGGAAAUCGGCAUCAGUGAUGCACAGCACAGGCGGAAGCUGCUCCAGGCUGCGCGGUCCCUGCCCAAGGUGAAGGCUCUGGGCUAUGAUGGGAACAGCCCCCUGUCAGUGCGCUCCUGGCUGGUCUCCCUGGGCCUGCAGGACUAUGUCCCUUCCUUCCUGUCGAGUGGCUACAGCUCCAUUGACACUGUGAAGAACCUCUGGGAGCUGGAGCUUGUCAACGUCCUAAAGGUGCACCUGCUCGGCCAUCGCAAGCGCAUCAUCGCCUCCCUGGCAGACAGACCCUACGAGGAGCCGCCCCAGAAGCCCCCCCGGUUUUCCCAGCUGAGAUGCCAAGACUUGCUCUCGCAGACGUCGUCCCCCCUGAGCCAGAAUGACUCCUGCACCGGCCGGUCAGCUGAUCUGCUGCUGCCUUCUGGGGACACGGGCAGGAGGCGGCACGACAGUCUCCAAGACCCUACGGUGCCCUCUCGGGCCGAGCGCUUCAGGAUCCAGGAAGAGCACCGAGAGGCCAAGCUGACCCUUCGGCCCCCAAGCCUGGCUGCCCCCUAUGCCCCUGUGCAGAGUUGGCAACACCAGCCGGAGAAACUCAUCUUCGAGUCCUGCGGCUAUGAAGCCAAUUAUCUGGGCUCCAUGUUGAUCAAAGAUCUGCGAGGGACAGAAUCCACGCAAGACGCCUGUGCCAAGAUGCGGAAAUCCACGGAGCACAUGAAGAAGAUCCCCACCAUCAUCCUCUCCAUCACCUACAAAGGUGUCAAGUUCAUCGACGCCUCCAACAAGAACGUCAUCGCAGAGCACGAGAUCCGGAACAUUUCCUGUGCAGCCCAGGACCCAGAGGACCUCUGUACCUUCGCCUACAUCACCAAGGACCUGCAGACCAGCCACCACUAUUGCCACGUUUUCAGCACGGUGGACGUGAACCUGACCUAUGAGAUCAUCCUGACACUGGGGCAGGCGUUCGAGGUGGCCUAUCAGCUGGCCCUACAGGCCCAGAAGUCCAGGCCAAUGGGGGCCUCUGCCGCCGAGAUGAUCGAAACAAAAUCUUCCAAACCGGUGCCUAAGCCUCGGGUCGGCAUGAGGAAGUCAGCACAGCUGGAACAGCCCGAUAUGGACCCAGAUGCCCAGUCCCAUGCCAGCGUCUCCUGGGUUGUGGACCCCAAACCAGACUCUAAGCGGAGCCUCAGCACCAAGUAUGAGACCACUAUCUUCUAAGCACCCACCCCGUCUCCACUAGUCUCAUGUGCCUUGCCGUCCGUCCUUCUGCUCUUCUCAACUCUCCUUCCAGCUGCUGACGCCAAGGUCCCACCCACCCUGGGACCUCUCCUCCUGGGGCGGCAGCUUUAGACACUGCACACUCUCAGCUCGCACCUACCACCACCGGACACUGUGAAUUCCCCCCUUGGGCGAGGACAGCUUGGCGGGGGGGCAAGGUGCCUUUGAGGUGGGCACCAAGAGGGCCUCAGCGGGCGGGCACCGUGGCUCCUGAGGCGGGGGCAGUCUCCAGCAGAGUCCACUCGGCACUGGAGGCUGCUCCCUCCGAUCGGCCGGGGCUCCCUGUCGGCUCUCCUCUCCCGUCUUCCGAGCCACGGCUGGGUGCCGUUGCCAAGAGCUAACUGCACCUUUCCUGACACAACCAACCACUGUGACCACCUGGGGCCAGAAUCCCCUUGCGCUCUGCUAACAGCUGGCCUGCGGCCCAUCCCUCUUAAGAUUGCUGGCCUCCCCCUGUGAGACCCUCAGCUCAGCGAUGUGGCUUGAACAGGGUCAGAACUCUUUCUGUGAGGGCCCAGGGUCUGUGCCAGGUCCUAGAGCACAUGCCUGACUCCAAAGCCUGGGGCUCUGAGCGUCUGAACACCCACAGGCUGGCUCCACACAGCAGGUGUCUUGGUCCUGAUGGGUCUUGCACUGCAAGGAAUGGGAUGGCUCCUCACGUCUUCACCAGGGAGUCCCCGGCUGGCUCUGGAGUCUGGCUCGAGGAAGAGGAAGGCCUUCCUGUAGGAGCCAGCAGGAGGGAGGCCAGUGCCCUGCACACACUGUGCACCUUCUUCCCUCAGAACGGAGCUGCUCAAGGACAGGGACCUGGGCCGAGCAACAUCCGUUGUCCUCCAGGAGCUUUCUGAUGCUUCUCCACAGUGUGGGGACCAGAGAUAGUCAGCUGGCACCCGGUCCCUUCCCUGAUCGACAGCCCUCAGCCUCUUGACUCCUGAGAAGGAGUCCAUCACCUCAAAGCAGUUCAGCAGCUGGGAUGGUGGAGUUGAGGCUUUCAGAAGGCCCACGUUCUCGCGUGAGGGCAUGUCAGCUUAGAUGGCGGGAGAGGAGAGCCAGUUUCCGUGGGAAGAAGCACUGUACACGUAGCGUGGCCCAGUAUGAGAGCCACUGAGCCACCGAGGAACCAACUGUGCUGCGGAAACAGCCAUGGGGAGCGCAGGCUCCCACCGCCGCCGCCGCCACCGCCACCACCGUCUCAGCUGCAGCUUUGAAGACGCAGGCCCCACUACUGCCCGUAGGACCUCCUCGCGGCUGCAUGGUCCGGGCCUGCCACUGCCAGGUCUCGCCGAGUGAGCCCUGCCCUGGUUGCGGAGCAGCCCUCCAGGCCUCUAGCAGAUGAGGUUGGAACUCCAGAGAGCCAAGAAGUGACUUGUCCAGAAAACAUUUUUUAAUAGAAAAAAAUUUUUUUAUAAAAUGAACUUUCAACACUUGGCUCAACCCUCUAGGUUAAACUGCCAGUCUUUAGACAAUGGCCAUAGGGUCAGAGGACAGCGGGCCUCUGUCCUCAGGCUGGGGUCUUGGCGCGCUUGAGCAGCUCUGAGAGAAGGUAGUGGGUGAAUUGAAUCGGCUCGACAGACCCGCCAGUCAGCUGCUCUUCCUUCUGAGCCGCACAGCUUCUCAUCCCCGCCUGGAGCUGGGGGCAGCCCGUAGAGGCAUCUGGCAAAAGCAGAGGCUUCUGGGGUUCCAAACGUGAAGGUCUGGGGCCGCGUGGAGAUGCACAGGCAGGUCGCGGUGCCCAAGCUCUGGGCUGCUCCUCUGUCUCGGACCCAGCGGUGGUCAGAGCGCUGCCCUGGGCUGCCUGGCCGCAGGCCCUCCGGUGACCUCAGACUGUCUGAGUCGAGGCAGAAAGGAGAAGCAGCAGCUUUGUUUGUUUGGGGCAUUGACGGGUAGGUCGGCUGAGGUGGCUGCCUGCUGACUUGCGAUUUGUCUAAUCAGGUCUGUGUGAUUAGGACUCACUUUGGUUCUCUGAAUUAUCGGUUUGAUUGUCAUCCUUUCAGCUGCUGGGCUCCCCACUGGCUCCAAGGGUAGAGAAGGCUGAAUCAGGUGACAGUUUGAUUCUCCCCGAGUGUGGCCUUCAGGGCAGGCUGGCAUCUGGGCGCUGCUGCUGCCUGAGCCCUCCUGCUGGCUGGCUUUGCUUUUCACCUUUGGUUGCGUUGCUCCUCCUGGAGGCAGAGCCAGAGGGACUGUUCCUGUGAGGCUGGGCCAGGUCAACUGCCCGUCCAGCACCUUCCAGAGCAGAGCCUUUCCUCCCACGGGGCUGGAGCAGACCUUCCACUUUGCUGGCACAGCGCAGUCUGGUCCCAGGAUCAGUAGUCCAGGCUUCAGUAGCGCCUCUCUCUCUCCUGGCAGGGGCUGUGAAUGAGCAGGGAGCGCUCUGGCGCACCUUCAUAGCCCUGUGGUCGGCCAGCAGUGGAAAGCUGGGCCGCGUCUUCCUGCUGACCUGAGGCUGGGCCCUGUGGGUUUCCUUUCUGCUGAGCCGUCCACACCGCAGGCCUGGGGAGUCACACCCCCUCUCACUGAUCCUGCCCUUCUCGGUACUAAACAAGGACCUCGAUACCGGGAAGUCUGACUUCACGUCCUGCUGCUUCCAGGGCCCGUCGGCUUCCACUGAGCAGUAUUCAGCCCCUACUUCCUUCCAGGUAUGGACGAGGAACCCCGAGCUGGAUGGGUAAACCGCGGCUCCUGCUGCAGUGCGAGUGCUGUGCCCUCUUCCUCCUGAGGAAGGCCGGUCUCCUCUAAGCAGCCCCCUCUUGGUGGGUGGUGGGUCCAUAAAGAAAACUGUAGACACUACGAUGAGUUCCUCAAGCUGUCUUUAUUUUUAAGUCAUAGGUAGGUGUCUCCUCCCCUUGAAGCUGCUAUAUCUUCUUUAUUUAUUCAGGGUGUUUCAUGUUGGAAAGCCUUGGCUAAUCUGCUCUGGCUCUGGAUUUUGUUUUGAGCUUGGUUUAUUUCUCAAUAGCCAAGAAAGGAAGGGACUAGAUAUUUUUUUUAUUCCUCCUCCGGGACAGGUACUCUCCCUCCCCUAGAAAGAAAAAUUUUAACACCAGGACAGGCUUCACAUGGAGAGAAGCCCUGCUUCUGCACGUGAGCACAGGCCCUGCAGUGUGGCAGCCCCGUUCUGAACUGUGCAGGCCGUUCAGGCAGGACCUGAGAUAGGUCAGUACCUGCACGGCCACAGGCUCUCUGCUCCGCCCUUCUGCUUGCAGCUACUUCGAGCAGGGCUUCCCUCCGACAGGCUCUGCAUUUGCAACGCUCGCGUUCCCCCAGGGCCCCCAGCUUUGACUCUGGGGAGUCCCCGGAGAAGUCUCGGGCUGAGCAGACUGGUCUGCCCUCGGCCUGUGUUGUGAUGCCCAGGCCUGCAGGACAACUCUCAGAUGCAGUUCACAAAGUGGUGUUGCUAAUGGUGUGGCAAUGGGACUGAAUUGUAAUAAAACGUUAUUUAAUCUUUGUUUCUGUAUUUUGAUACUUGAAUGACUUCCCCUUUUAUUUUACUGUACAUAUAAUUGUUAAUCUGUCCAAUUUUGUCUAAAUUACAAACAUCUUGUGGUACCAAACAUAACCGACCUGUGCAACAACAUAGACUGACCUCACUACACGAGAGAGAGUGUAAAUAUUCCUGGGCUUUCGGCUUUGGUUUUGUUAUUUUCGUAACUGUACAACUUAGAACAGACUGAAUUAAUAAAUGAGAAGCGACAUGAAACCA